rnacentral:rRNA from 1 species
CCUACGUGGGGCAGCAGUGAGGAAUAUUGGUCAAUGGCCGAGAGGCUGAACCAGCCAAGUCGCGUGAGGGAUGACGGCCCUACGGGUUGUAAACCUCUUUUAUCGGGGAGCAAAGAGAGUCACGUGUGGCGAAUUGAGAGUACCCGAAGAAAAAGCAUCGGCUAACUCGGUUCCAGCAGCCGCGGUAAUACGGGGGAUGCGAGCGUGAUCAGGUUUUAUUGGGUUUAAAGGGAGCGCAGGGGGAGGUGCAAGUCCGUGUUCAAAUUGCGGGGCUCAACCCCGUACUGCCGUUGAAACUGCAUCCCUUGAGUGCGCGAGAAGUAUGCGGAAUGCGUGGUGUAGCGGUGAAAUGCAUAGAUAUCACGCAGAACUCCGAUUGCGAAGGCAGCAUACCGGCGCGCAACUGACGCUCAUGCGCGAAAGCGUGGGUAUCGAACAGGAUUAGAUACCCCAGUAGUC